rnacentral:tRNA from 1 species
CGCUGAGUACUCAGCUGGAGAGCGUUAGACUGAAGAUCUAAAGGUCCCUGGUUAACCCGGGUUCAGCAU